rnacentral:rRNA from 1 species
GUAACGGCCCACCAAAGCGACGAUCGGUAGCCGGACUGAGAGGGUGGACGGCCACAUUGGGACUGAGACACGGCCCAAACUCCUACGGGAGGCAGCAGUGGGGAAUAUUGCACAAUGGGGGAAACCCUGAUGCAGCGACGCCGCGUGGAGGAAGAAGGUCUUCGGAUUGUAAACUUCUGUCGUACGGGACGAUAAUGACGGUACCGUACAAGAAAGCCACGGCUAACUAC